UACGGAGGGUGCAAGCGUUAUCCGGAUUCACUGGGUUUAAAGGGUGCGUAGGCGGGCAGGUAAGUCAGUGGUGAAAUCUCAGAGCUUAACUCUGAAACUGCCGUUGAUACUAUUUGUCUUGAAUGUCGUGGAGGUUAGCGGAAUAUGUCAUGUAGCGGUGAAAUGCUUAGAUAUGACAUAGAACACCUAUUGCGAAGGCAGCUAACUACGCGAAUAUUGACGCUGAGGCACGAAAGCGUGGGGAUCAAACAGG
rnacentral:rRNA from 1 species